rnacentral:rRNA from 1 species
CCUACGGGUGGCAGCAGUGGGGAAUAUUGCACAAUGGGGGAAACCCUGAUGCAGCGACGCCGCGUGAGUGAAGAAGUAUCUCGGUACGUAAAGCUCUAUCAGCAGGGAAGAAAAUGACGGUACCUGACUAAGAAGCCCCGGCUAACUACGUGCCAGCAGCCGCGGUAAUACGUAGGGGGCAAGCGUUAUCCGGAUUUACUGGGUGUAAAGGGAGCGUAGACGGCAGCACAAGUCUGGAGUGAAAUCCCGGGGCUUAACCCCGGAACUGCUCUGGAAACUGUGUAACUGGAGUGCAGGAGAGGCAGGCGGAAUUCCUAGUGUAGCGGUGAAAUGCGUAGAUAGUAGGAGGAACACCAGUGGCGAAGGCGGCCUGCUGGACUGUAACUGACGUUGAGGCUCGAAAGCGUGGGGAGCAAACAGGAUUAGAUACCCCAGUAGUC